rnacentral:rRNA from 1 species
AGGGUUUGAUCAUGGCUCAGAAUGAACGUUGGCGGCGUGGAUUAGGCAUGCAAGUCGCACGAGAAACUAAUUAGCUUGCUAAGAGGUGGACAGUGGCGCAAGGGAGAGUAACGCGUGGUUACUUGCCCUCGAGACCGGGAUAGUGUCGGGAAACUGGCAGUAAUACCGGAUAACAUCUUCGGAUCAAAUGGUGUGAUUCCGCUCGAGGAUAGGACCGCGUACUAUUAGCUUGUUGGUGAGGUAACGGCUCACCAAGGCUUCGAUGGUUACCGGGUGUGAGAGCAUGGCCCGGCUCACUGGGACUGAGACACUGCCCAGACACCUACGGGUGGCUGCAGUCGAGAAUCUUCGGCAAUGGACGAAAGUCUGACCGAGCGACGCCGCGUGCGGGAUGAAGGCCCUCGGGUUGUAAACCGCUGUCAGUAGUUAGGAAGUCCAUGAGGGUUAUCUCUCAUGGUUGACCGAUCUUCAGAGGAAGGACGGGCUAAGUUCGUGCCAGCAGCCGCGGUAAGACGAACCGUCCAAACGUUAUUCGGUAUCACUGGGCUUAAAGCGUGCGUAGGCGGCUUGGUAGGUGAGAUGUGAAAGCCCACGGCUCAACCGUGGAAUUGCGUUUCAAACCCCCAAGCUCGAGGAAGAUAGGGGUGAUGGGAACUUAUGGUGGAGCGGUGAAAUGCGUUGAUAUCAUAGGGAACACCGGUGGCGAAAGCGCAUCACUGGAUCUUUUCUGACGCUGAGGCACGAAAGCUAGGGUAGCGAACGGGAUUAGAUACCCCGGUAGUCCUAGCCGUAAACGAUGAA